rnacentral:rRNA from 1 species
UUUAAAGUCUAAUCUGCCCUAUGAGGAGUUAAAUGGCCGCGGUACUCUGACCGUGCAAAGGUAGCAUAAUAAUUAGUUUUUUAAUUGAAAGCUGGAAUGAAUGAUUGGACGAGAAAAUAACUGUCUCAAUUUAAUUUUUUUUAGAAUUUUAUUUUUAAGUAAGAAAGCUUAAAUUUAAUUAAAAGACGAGAAGACCCUAUAGAGUUUUAUAUUUGAUUUAUUAUUAAUUUUUUAGUUUUAUUUUAUUAAUAUUAAUUCAAAUAUUUUGUUGGGGUGACAGAAAAAUAUUAUUAACUUUUUUUUUAUAUAGACAUAGAUUUAUGAUUUAAUGAUCCAUUUUUUAUGAUUAAAAGAAUAAGUUACCUUAGGGAUAACAGCGUAAUUUUUUUUUAGAGUUCUUAUCGAAAGAAAAGAUUGCGACCUCGAUGUUGGAUUAAAAUAAAUAUUUGGUGUAGAAGCUAGAUAAUUAGGUCUGUUCGACCUUUAAAAUUUUACAUGAUCUGAGUUUAAACCGGCGUAAGCCAGGUUGGUUUCUAUCUUUAAUUUAAUUUAAUAUUUUAGUACGAAAGGACCAAGUAUUAGCAAUAAUUGUUUUAUUUUGAAUAAUAUUAG